GACGAACGCUGGCGGCGUGCUUAACACAUGCAAGUCGAACGGAAAGGCCCUGCUUUUGUGGGGUGCUCGAGUGGCGAACGGGUGAGUAACACGUGAGUAACCUGCCCUUGACUUUGGGAUAACUUCAGGAAACUGGGGCUAAUACCGGAUAGGAGCUCCUGCUGCAUGGUGGGGGUUGGAAAGUUUCGGCGGUUGGGGAUGGACUCGCGGCUUAUCAGCUUGUUGGUGGGGUAGUGGCUUACCAAGGCAUUGACGGGUAGCCGGCCUGGGAGGGUGACCGGCCACAUUGGGACUGAGAUACGGCCCAGACUCCUACGGGAGGCAGCAGUGGGGAAUAUUGCACAAUGGGCGGAAGCCUGAUGCAGCAACGCCGCGUGCGGGAUGACGGCCUUCGGGUUGUAAACCGCUUUCGCCUGUGACGAAGCGUGAGUGACGGUAAUGGGUAAAGAAGCACCGGCUAACUACGUG
rnacentral:rRNA from 1 species